rnacentral:lncRNA from 1 species
UACACACACGCAAUGACCCACGAGAAAGGGAAAGGGGAAAACACCAACUACCCGGGCGCUGGGCUUUUUCGACUUUUCCUUUAAAAAGAAAAAAGUUUUUCAAGCUGCGCGGGCUUCCUGUGCGCGGCCGAGCCCGGGCCCAGCGCCGCCUGCAGCCUCGGGAAGGGAGCGGAUCGCGGAGCCCCGAGCCGCCCGCAGAGCAAGCGCGGGGAACCAAGGAGACGCUCCUGGCACUGCAGAUAACUUGUCUGCAUUUCAAGAACAACCUACCAGAGACCUUACCUGCCACCUUGGCUCUCCCACCCAAUGGAGAUGGCUCUAAUGGUGGCACAAACCAGGAAGGGGAAAUCUGUGGUUUAAAUUCUUUAUGCCUCAUCCUCUGAGUGCUGAAGGCUUGCUGUAGGCUGUAUGCUGUUAAUGCUAAUCGUGAUAGGGGUUUUUGCCUCCAAAUGACUCCUACAUAUUAGCAUUAACAGGGUAUGAUGCCUGUUACUAGCAUUCACAUGGAACAAAUUGCUGCCGUGGGAGGAUGACAAAGAAGCAUGAGUCACCCUGCUGGAUAAACUUAGACUUCAGGCUUUAUCAUUUUUCAAUCUGUUAAUCAUAAUCUGGUCACUGGGAUGUUCAACCUUAAACUAAGUUUUGAAAGUAAGGUUAUUUAAAAGAUUUAUCAGUAGUAUCCUAAAUGCAAACAUUUUCAUUUAAAUGUCAAGCCCAUGUUUGUUUUUAUCAUUAACAGAAAAUAUAUUCAUGUCAUUCUUAAUUCAUGUCAUUCAGGUUUUGGCUUGUUCAUUAUAAUGUUCAUAAACACCUUUGAUUCAACUGUUAGAAAUGUGGGCUAAACACAAAUUUCUAUAAUAUUUUUGUAGUUAAAAAUUAGAAGGACUACUAACCUCCAGUUAUAUCAUGGAUUGUCUGGCAACGUUUUUUAAAAGAUUUAGAAACUGGUACUUUCCCCCAGGUAACGAUUUUGUGUUCAGGCAACUUCAGUUUAAAAUUAAUACUUUUAUUUGACUCUUAAAGGGAAACUGAAAGGCUAUGAAGCUGAAUUUUUUAAAUGAAAUAUUUUUAACAAUUAGCAGGGUAAACAACUUCUGACAGCGAAUGAGAUAUUUUUUCCAUACAAGAUAAAAAGAUUUAAUCAAAAAAUUUCAUAUUUGAAAUGAAGUCCCAAAUCUAGGUUCAAGUUCAAUAGCUUAGCCACAUAAUACGGUUGUGCGAGCAGAGAAUCUACCUUUCCACUUCUAAGCCUGUUUCUUCCUCCAUAAAAUGGGGAUAAUACUUUACAAGGUUGUUGUGAGGCUUAGAUGAGAUAGAGAAUUAUUCCAUAAGAUAAUCAAGUGCUACAUUAAUGUUAUAGUUAGAUUAAUCCAAGAACUAGUCACCCUACUUUAUUAGAGAAGAGAAAAGCUAAUGAUUUGAUUUGCAGAAUUUUUAAGGUUUGGAUUUCUAUGCAGUUUUUCUAAAUAACUAUCACUUACAAAUAUGUAACCAAACGUAAUUGUUAGUAUAUUUAAUGUAAACUUGUUUUAACAACUCUUCUCAACAUUUUGUCCAGGUUAUUCACUGUAACCAAAUAAAUCUCAUGAGUCUUUAGUUGAUUUAAAAUAA